AUUGAACGCUGGCGGCAUGCCUUACACAUGCAAGUCGAACGGUAACAGGUCUUCGGAUGCUGACGAGUGGCGAACGGGUGAGUAAUACAUCGGAACGUGCCUAGUAGUGGGGGAUAACUACUCGAAAGAGUGGCUAAUACCGCAUGAGAUCCACGGAUGAAAGCAGGGGAUCGCAAGACCUUGUGCUACUAGAGCGGCCGAUGGCAGAUUAGGUAGUUGGUGGGAUAAAAGCUUACCAAGCCGACGAUCUGUAGCUGGUCUGAGAGGACGAUCAGCCACACUGGGACUGAGACACGGCAGACUCCUACGGGAGGCAGCAGUGGGGAAUUUUGGACAAUGGGCGCAAGCCUGAUCCAGCAAUGCCGCGUGCAGGAUGAAGGCCUUCGGGUUGUAAACUGCUUUUGUACGGAACGAAAAGCCCUGGGUUAAUACCCUGGGGUCAUGACGGUACCGUAAGAAUAAGCACCGGCUAACUACGUGCCAGCCGCCGCAGUAAAAC
rnacentral:rRNA from 1 species